rnacentral:rRNA from 1 species
GGACGAACGCUGGCGGCGUGCCUAAUACAUGCAAGUCGAACGGUCUUUCUAUGGAAGCUUGCUUCCACUGAGAAGAUAGUGGCGAACGGGUGAGUAACACGUGGGUAACCUGCCCAUAAGAGGGGGAUAACAUCCGGAAACGGGUGCUAAUACCGCAUAGUUUUCUUGAUCGCAUGAUCGGGAAAGGAAAGACGGCCUUUGUGCUGUCGCUUAUGGAUGGACCCGCGGCGUAUUAGUUAGUUGGUGAGGUAACGGCUCACCAAGACGAUGAUACGUAGCCGACCUGAGAGGGUGAUCGGCCACAUUGGGACUGAGACACGGCCCAAACUCCUACGGGAGGCAGCAGUAGGGAAUCUUCCGCAAUGGACGAAAGUCUGACGGAGCAACGCCGCGUGAGUGAAGAAAGGUUUUCGGAUCGUAAAACUCUGUUGUCAGAGAAGAACAAGUUGGAGAGUAACUGCUCCAGCCUUGACGGUAUCUGACCAGAAAGCCACGGCUAACUACGUGCCAGCAGCGGC